CAGCCAAGGGAACGGGCUUGG
rnacentral:ncRNA from 2 species